rfam:Mesocricetus auratus contig109299, whole genome shotgun sequence.
UGUGUAUGUAGAAAAACUAGUCCUAUUUAAAAGGUAAUUGACAGGUGCAAAAAUAAACCCUCUUUUGCAACCCAGAACUCAAUGUUCAGUAUGAGUUUCGAUCCAUACAAGAAAGGAUGUA